UGUCCUGGCUCAGGAUGAACGCUAGCUACAGGCUUAACACAUGCAAGUCGAGGGGCAGCAUUUCAGUUUGCUUUGCAAACUGGAGAUGGCGACCGGCGCACGGGUGAGUAACACGUAUCCAACCUGCCGAUAACUCGGGGAUAGCCUUUCGAAAGAAAGAUUAAUACCCGAUGGUAUAAUUAGACCGCAUGGUCUUGUUAUUAAGAAUUUCGGUUAUCGAUGGGGAUGCGUUCCAUUAGGCAGUUGGUG
rnacentral:rRNA from 1 species